rnacentral:misc_RNA from 1 species
GGUCAUCGGAUUGGUUAGUUUGUGCAUUGGCGGUUGAAGAAGAAUGUCAACCACCCUUGAGAGAAAGUUGUCAGCAGGAAGCAUCGUGCGUGAGAAAAAGCAGGUUUCCCGUAUCUUACCGUAGUAGGUAAUAAUAAAGCUAAAACACAGAUUGUUCAUUUGUUUGGAGGACCUUCGCUAAAAAUCGCAAGGUUUAUAGCGGAUCCUUAGAGUAGCUGAAAAAUGUUCUGUGCGGAAUGCCUCGACAUUUGGUAAUCAUCUUACCGAAGGAUAGGGUCUUUGUGUAGCGAGCCAUGGGACAGAAACCGUUGGAAAAGAUUGCUGUCGAGUGCCG